ensembl:lncRNA
CCUUCCUCAUCCUCUGUAUAAAAGGAACCAGAAUUCUGACUGGGGAAGCUGAUUCUUUGAGGCAUUAGUCCCCUGACCUCUCAGGCUGAUGGCUCUCUGAUUAAAGCCGUUAUUCUUGCCCCAGGAACUUGCCUUCCGAUGUACUGGUCUUUCGUGUGGUGAGCAGAAGUCCUUAUCAACUCUGUCAGAAGUGACCUGACAUCUCUCCUGUAGAGUGGAAUCUCAGCAGAAGAUGGAGAAGCUCUAUACAAUCAGCAAAAACAAGACUGGGAGCUGACUGCGGCUCAGAUCAUGAACUCCUUGGAAGGUGUAGUCGCUCAGUCGUGUCCGACUCUUGCAACCCCGUGGACUGUAGCCUACCAGGCUUCUCUGUCCAUGGGAUUCUCCAGGCAAGAAUACUGGAGUGGGUUACCAUUUCCUUCUCCAGGGGAUCUUCCCGACCCAGGGAUUGAACCCUGGGUCUCCCGCAUUGGAGGCAGACGCUUUAACCUCUGAGCCACCAGGGAAGCUUAUUGAUACCUAAAUUGAAGAGAGUAGGGAAAACCACUAAGCAUUCAGGUAUGACCUAAAUCAAAUCCCUUACGUACAGUGGAUGUGACAAAUAGAUUCAAGGAAUAAGAUCUGACAGAGUGUCUGAAGAACUAUGGACAGAGGGUUGUGACAUCAAACAGGAGGCAGUGAUCAAAACCAUCCCCAACAAAAGAAAUGCAAAAAGGCAAAAUGGUUGUCUGAGGAGGCCUUACAAAUAGCUGUGAAAAGAAGCUAAAGUCUAAGAAAACAAAGAUAUACCCAUUUGAACGCAGAGUACAAAUAGCAAGGAAAGAUAAGAAAGCCUCCCUCAGAGAUCAAUGCAAAAAAAAUAAAUAAAUAAAGGAAAAUAAUAGAAUGGGAAAGACUAGAGAUCUCUUCAAGAAAAUUAGAGAUCCAAGGCAACAUUUCAUGCAAAGAUGGGCAAAAUAAAGGACAGAAAUGGCAUGGACCUAACAGAAGAAGAAGAUAUAAAGAAGAGGUGGCAAGAAU